AAAAAAUGAAUUCAGUCGGCUUAGAGUGUUGAUAGAGUAUAGAUAAAAUACAUCAUUUUAGACCGAUUUGGCCGAUUUUCGAAAGUAUUAAUAUAGAUGACGUGACGAAGAAGAUCAAAUCUUUCCCAACGGAGCCGAGAUGCAAUUAGGAUAUGGAACAGUGCGAAUCAAUCAACUGAUGAAGAACGAAAAUUGCGCCGCGUUAGUGCGGCACGAUAUAUGGCCGUUCUUCGUGCUUUUCAAACAGAAGAGCAAAGAGAGGCAGUCCGUGAAACGGCUAGAUUAGAAAGAAGAAAAUCGUAGAGCUCAUCGCACAGACCAACAACGAUAUAGUAUUCGAACUGCAAGAAGAAAUACUUUAAGUGUUGAUUUGAAUCGAGCAACGUCUCUGUACGAUUGCACAAUUGACUACAGCUCGCAUCCUUUCGUUUGCAUUGGUACAAUGGAAGUAAUUUGCGUGCAUUGUGGGGCAUUGAAGUUCGCUGGAGAAACGCAUGAAUUGUGCUGCCUUAAUGGCAAUGUUAAAUUGCCAUUAUUGGUUCCGCCACCAGAGCCAUUGCAUUGCUUUGGGGCGAAAUACAAGAAUCACGACAUUUUCUAGCGAACAUUCAAAAGUACAAUAGCAGUUUUCAAAUGACUUUAUUUGGAGAGGAAUUGCCGAUAGAAUACGGAUUAUAUCCAACAUUCAAGAUUCAAGGCCAGAUUCACCAUCGAAUUGGAUCAUUACAACCUCUUGAAGAUGCACAACAUAAAUUCUUACAAAUAUACUUCAUGGGAAAUAUGGAGGAGAUACUUGAUCGGCGUCAAGAGAUUCACACAUCAAUGAAAAGAGGAAUUCUAAAAGAUCUACAGAAACUGCUUCAUGAAAAUCAUGCAUUAGUCAGUCUAUUCAAGACUGCGUUAGAGCGCAUGCCAAACGAUGACUACAAAGUCGUGAUCAGAGCGGAUAAACGACCAGCUGGAACACAUGAACGCACAGUUAACGCUCCAACAAUAGUUGAAGUUGCAAUCCUGAUUGUUGGUGAAAACUUGGAAAUACGCGAUAUUGUUCUUACCCGACGCAAUACUGGGCAAAUACUAAAAAUUUAUGAAACACACCGUUCAUAUAACACGUUGCAACACCCCCUGAAGUUUUGGCAAGGAGACGCACUUUAAAAUCAAGAUUAUUAAUCCAUUAAAUGGUGACGAAACUAACAAGAAGGUUAGUUCGAUAAAUUAUUACGCAUAUCGGUUGAUGAUGCGUCUC